rnacentral:lncRNA from 1 species
AAGUGGAUUUUCCACAAAUAACACGUUUAAUAUCUUUCUGCAGAAACGUGUUCUUCCUAAGCAGACGACCACCUGGCUUAAUCCCAAAUGUUUUAUACUUCUUUUCCACAUACUUAGCCAGUUCAGCACCGAUUUCCUCUUAUAUGUGGAAGGAGACUAUAUUACACACCUGAAGUAUUUGUUACUGUUUUACAAAGAUACCACUAGGAUUUUCUCACUUUGUCUUGGUAAAAAUUGCUAGAUUCUACUUUUUAUUGUGAGUUUUAGCAAUUUGAUCUUGUAACGCCAUGAAAAGCAUUAAGUAGAAGCCAACAUUAACCUAGAUUUCACAACUGAGCAAUCUGUUCCCCACCAGAUUUCCUCUGGAAUUUAUUAUCAAAGGAUCUUAUUGUGUUACAGAACACAGGAAAUCGUAUUAUACUUUAUAAUGUUGCAAACCAUGCAUUUUCCUUUUCUCUUUUCCAUAAGAUUUAUUUUUUUUAUUAUGGUAGUGUCCUGGGUUGUAAACAGUGGACAUCACCAAAAGGAUGAAAUCAAGUAGGCUUGUUUCAAAGAAACUCCUGUGAAUCAAGAACUAUGAACAUGAAGUAUCUCCCAGAAUAAUGUUCAGUGUUGCAGGAGACUCUGAAACAGGGCACCCAUUUCUUUUUCCUUCCUCAAAUAGUCCCCUUGAAAUGUGAGCAAACAACUACGAUGAUGCAGUCCAGGUAUCUAAUAGCUCAAUCACCAACACCCUGUGAGAAUUGUUCCUAUACCAGCAAAAAGUUCAAAUACAAUAAUCUGGGCAAUGCCAAUAGAAGACACUUAAUCAUUUGCAGACCUUUCUUGUUGCAGGAAAGUGACGGCAAAAAACAAACUGGUGAAAAAUGUUCAAAAAUAGAUCGUUUUGAUGUUCUUGUUCAUAGCCAGCAUUCAGUAUUUCUGUAUUGUUUACAUUUGGGGGAAAAUGUCUGUUAAGACUAAUCUUCUGAGUGGUUUGAGUACCAAUUAAACCAAAGGGAAACUUGUUAUGUUAUUUUAAGCCCUGGUUUAUGGCUAGUUCCCUAUUGCUCAGGAAAAAUACUACUACUUUAUGGUUUAUGAAAACAACCUAUGAUUUAUGUUGCAUCUUCCAGGUAAGGUUUAACAGUACCAGGAGCUGAAUCCUACCUGAAAUUAUUAAUACUUAAUAGCUUCUGUUUGAUGGAUAAAGGUGCUUAAUUGAAAAAAAAAAAAAGCAUAAUAUACUUUAAGUAAUUACUUCAAACACAAAAUUCUGUUGAUGCUGAAUUUAAAGAUAAUACAGAAUGUGUCAGUUCUCCUGUUGUAUUUUACUCAGUUAUGAGAGCAAGGCUAUUUUGUCAGUUCAGAUUUCGUGUCUUUUUUCUGUCAGUAUGUAUGGCUCCCUAAAGUGUACUAUUAAAAACAUCUUAAAUGAACUAAUCAAACACUUA